rnacentral:lncRNA from 1 species
AACAAGCCCAGAAGGCGGCGGACACUCGCAUAAAGUCACGCAGUAGUACUCGGAGCCCAGGGUAGAACCUGGACUUCAAAUCUCUGCACUCCCGGCCGGGUGGUGGGCCCAUAUCCUGGGUAGCCUCUAGGAAGCGCUAGACACAUGGAACCAAGGCAGAAUCAGCCUGGCAGCUGGCAAGUCAUGGAGCACUGCCUGUCCAUCUGCGAGCUAACAACAGUCGCGCUGGAAGUCAACAAGGGAAAUGGAAAGGGAGAGACCCAGCCUCCACAGGGGCUCACGCCCUGGGACCCGUGCCAGUGUGAACAAGGUUUUCCGGCCCCAGUAGGCAGGCCUAAGUACUCUCAUUUCAUCAUUGAGGAGCCUGAGACGUUCAGUCAUUGAUUGGACAGCCCUCACCAUUCAAGCCCUCCUUGGUUUACAGCAGCACAAAGAGAGGCUCUGAAGGUUCUAGCCAGAGGAAGCUGCAGCCAGGCCUGGCAGUCUCCCCUGCUCCCUUCCACCAGCUUGGUUCCUGUUCCUGCUGGUCCUGGGAGCCCCCAGCAGAUGGACUGCCCUUAUCAGCCGGCUCCAGGCCAGAGGAGGAAUCCUCCGGUCACGUGUGGCUCUCUGGAGGGAGAGAGACCUCGUAAAUAGUAAAUACAUACAGCCCACGCAGAGGAAGUGGGGAGGGUCAAGGGGAAAGAAACCUUGACAUUCUGGCGACUGGGCCAGGAUUAAAGGCCACCAGGCAUAGCCCUUAUUGGCUAUUUCUAUGAGGAAUCUCAAAUCCACAUGGCUUCCCUGGAUGACAAGGCUGACUUUGACUAGCCCUGGGAUCUGGGGCAUUCCCAGUGUGCUGCUGGCUUGAUCCAGGCCUAAUCCUUUGCCCAGGACUGACCUUUCACAGUUUACAGAGCACUUUAUCUCCUGGCUCAGUGAAGUCUCACAGAACUCUCCAGAGAGAAGGGAGUUUAUCAUCACCCUCAGACGAGGAAGCUGAGGCUGCGACUGUAA